rnacentral:rRNA from 1 species
GAUUUCUUCGGAUUGAAGUUGCUUAUGACUGAGUGGCGGACGGGUGAGUAACGCGUGGGUAACCUGCCUCACACAGGGGGAUAGCAGUUGGAAACGGCUGAUAAUACCGCAUAAGCGCACAGUACCGCAUGGUACAGUGUGAAAAACUCCGGUGGUGUGAGAUGGACCCGCGUCUGAUUAGCUUGUUGGCAGGGUAACGGCCUACCAAGGCAACGAUCAGUAGCCGACCUGAGGGGGUGACCGGCCACAUUGGGACUGAGACACGGCCCAGACUCCUACGGGAGGCAGCAGUGGGGAAUAUUGCACAAUGGAGGAAACUCUGAUGCAGCGACGCCGCGUGAGUGAAGAAGUAAUUCGUUAUGUAAAGCUCUAUCAGCAGGGAAGAUAGUGACGGUACCUGACUAAGAAGCUCCGGCUAAAUACGUGCCAGCAGCCGCGGUAAUACGUAUGGAGCAAGCGUUAUCCGGAUUUACUGGGUGUAAAGGGAGUGUAGGUGGCAUCACAAGUCAGAAGUGAAAGCCCGGGGCUCAACCCCGGGACUGCUUUUGAAACUGUGGAGCUGGAGUGCAGGAGAGGCAAGUGGAAUUCCUAGUGUAGCGGUGAAAUGCGUAGAUAUUAGGAGGAACACCAGUGGCGAAGGCGGCUUGCUGGACUGUAACUG